rnacentral:sRNA from 1 species
CUUCAGAUAUUUCAGGGUGGGGAGAGGUGAAGUGAUUUGUUGCAAACUCGAGAUGGAUUUCAUUAAGCAUGCAGAACUGCUGUUAACAUCACUAGAGAUCUGCAAAAUAGAAGCUCGACAUGCCCAGAGCAGGUUUGACACAUGGAGCCGAGAUGUGAAAUUUGCCAGAAAUUAAGAGCUGUGCUGACAAGCUUUCUAACAUGAUCUCAUCAUCAAAUCCUGGAAGCACAACCUGCCACCAAUGGGAGAGGCUUCUUCAAUGGGAGAUAGAUAACCAAUCCCACAGAGUCGAAGAUCUUCGAACAAAAAGAGAAUCAAAUACAGGAGUCUGUUCUUAUAUUAACUCAUCACGUUAAAGAACGUGCGUCAGUUCAACAGGGAUGACACUGAAAUAAACAAUAAGGACAAAAGAGAGGAGACUGUCAUGGCUCACUGUAAAUGUGGACUCAUGUACCAAGAUUCCAAGCACAGAAAGCUAGACACACUCAUAUUUUGCUAUAUUUAAGACAAAUACAAAAUUGCUUCACACGAUAUUUUACCAACAUGUGGAGAAGACAAAGAAACACCUUUGCCAAUAUUCAUACACCAAAACUAUUAGGAAAAUGUGCACUUUCAUUUUUAGGCCCAGAUCACACAACACUGUGGACGCUGUCUGUCUUAGGGGAUGUUGUAAAUAAAUGCAUUUCACAGACAGAAUAGUAAGCUUUACUUUUUCUUUCUGAUGACCCCCAUCAGAUUUUCGGUCUAGCAGAAGUGACCUGCUGUAGACGGA